GUGGGAAAGAUGUCUCCAAUAACAAAAAGGUAGGUGAGAGUAGUGCAAAUAAGGGUAAGGAUAAGGAGAAGGAAGGAAUUUCAGUUUCUGAAACAAACAAUGAGGCAUGUAAGAAAAGUUCUGAAAGUAAGAAGUACUGUAGAAAGAAGAGAUAUGUCAGAGAAAGAAAAGAGACAAAUAAGCGUAAACAAGGGGAUAAUUCUUAUAAUGAUAUUCCUACAAGAAAACAGCCUCAGAGAAAAAAAUGCAAAAAUACUGACA